UCAUGUGAUCAUACCGGCACUAACACACCAGAUCCCACUAGAAUUUUGAAGUUAAGCGUGCUUGGGCGAGAGUAGUACUAGGAUGGGUGACCCCUCUAGGAAGUCCUCGUGUCACAUUUC